GAUGAACGCUGGCGGCGUGCCUAAUACAUGCAAGUCGAGCGAACGGACGAGAAGCUUGCUUCUCUGAUGUUAGCGGCGGACGGGUGAGUAACACGUGGAUAACCUACCUAUAAGACUGGGAUAACUUCGGGAAACCGGAGCUAAUACCGGAUAAUAUUUUGAACCGCAUGGUUCAAAAGUGAAAGACGGUCUUGCUGUCACUUAUAGAUGGAUCCGCGCUGCAUUAGCUAGUUGGUAAGGUAACGGCUUACCAAGGCAACGAUGCAUAGCCGACCUGAGAGAGUGAUCGGCCACACUGGAACUGAGACACGGUCCAUACUCCUACGGGAGGCAGCAGUAGGGAAUCUUCCGCAAUGGGCGCAAGCCUGACGGAGCAACGCCGCGUGAGUGAUGAAGGUCUUCGGAUCGUAAAACUCUGUUAUUAGGGAAGAACAUAUGUGUAAGUAACUGUGCACAUCUUGACGGUACCUAAUCAGAAAGCCACGGCUAACUACGUG
rnacentral:rRNA from 1 species